rnacentral:lncRNA from 10 species
AAUACUAAAAAAAAAAAAAAAAGUUGAUGUUUGAAGAAUUCUUCACUGAGCUUUCAGAGGGAGGUCUCCUUUGCUGUCUCACACUCUCUUGCCCUUCCACUUCCAUCAUGGGAUGGCAUGACAUGAAGACUCUCACAUGUGAGCCCCUUGACCUUGGACUUCCCAGCCUCCAGAGCUAUGAGAAAUAAAUUUCUUUUUAUAUCCAGCCUGUGGCAUUCUGUUGCAGCAACACAAAACAGAUUAAGAUAGAAAACUGGUACCAAGAAGUGAGACUGUUACUAAAACAAAUACCUGAAAAUGUGAAAGUGGCUUUGGAACUCAGUAACAGGUAGAGGCUGGAAGAAUUUAAAGGAACAGGGUGGAAAAUGGCUAGAUUGUCAUGAAUGAAGCAUUAAGGGUAAUUCUGGUAAGGACUAAGAAGAAGAGAAGAGCUAUAGGGAAAGUCUGAAACACUUAGAGAUUACUCAAGUGGUCAUGAUCAGAAUGCUGGUAGAAAUAUGGACAGUAAAGCCCAUUCUGAUGAGGUCCCAGAUGGAAAUGAGGAACAAGGUAUUGGAAACCCAAGUAAAGGCCAUCCUUGUUAUACAGUUACAAAGAACUUGGCUGAAUUGUGUCCAUGCCCAAGAGCUUUAUGAAAGGCCUUAUUUAAAAGAAAUGAACUAGGAUAUCUAGUAAAAGAAAUAUCUAAGCAGCAAAGCAGUCAGUCUUCUGCAUGGCUACUUUUAACCACAUAGAGUAAGAUGUGAGAGGAAAGAAAUGAUUUAAAGAUGGAAUUUGUAACUAAAAGAGAAACUGAGUGAAAGAUUUGGAAAGCUCACAGCUUGGCCAUGUUAAGAAUAAAAAAG